CCUACGGGUGGCAGCAGUGAGGAAUAUUGGUCAAUGGACGCAAGUCUGAACCAGCCAUGCCGCGUGAAGGAAGACUGCUCUAUGAGUUGUAAACUGCUUUUGUACGAGAGUAAAUCCGGAUACGUAUAUCCGGUUGAAAGUAUCGUACGAAUAAGGAUCGGCUAACUCCGUGCCAGCAGCCGCGGUAAUACGGAGGAUUCAAGCGUUAUCCGGAUUUAUUGGGUUUAAAGGGUGCGUAGGCGGUUAGAUAAGUUAGAGGUGAAAGCCCGGGGCUCAACCCUGGCACUGCCGUUGAUACUGGCGGGCUAGAGUUUAGUUGAGGUAGGCGGAAUGCAUGGUGUAGCGGUGAAAUGCAUAGAGAUCACACAGAACACCGAUUGCGAAGGCAGCUUACCAAACUACGACUGACGUUGAGGCACGAAAGCGUGGGGAGCAAACAGGAUUAGAUACCCUUGUAGUC
rnacentral:rRNA from 1 species